rnacentral:rRNA from 1 species
GACAGAGGCCUCAAGCGUUAGGCGGAAUCACUGGGCUUAAAGCGUGUGUAGGCGGGUCGUUAAGUACCUUGUGAAAUCCCACGGCUCACCCGUGGAACUGCUGGGUAUACUGGCGAUCUUGGGCCAUUUAGGGGCAACUGGAACAAGCGGUGGAGCGGUGAAAUGCGUAGAUAUCGCUUGGAACGCCAAAGGUGAAAACAGGUUGCUGGGAAUGUGCCG